UACGUAGGGCGCAAGCGUUGUCCGGAAUUAUUGGGCGUAAAGAGCUCGUAGGCGGCUUGUCACGUCGGAUGUGAAAGCCCGGGGCUUAACCCCGGGUCUGCAUUCGAUACGGGCAGGCUAGAGUGCGGUAGGGGAGACUGGAAUUCCUGGUGUAGCGGUGAAAUGCGCAGAUAUCAGGAGGAACACCAGUGGCGAAGGCGGGUCUCUGGGCCGUAACUGACGCUGAGGAGCGAAAGCGUGGGGAGCGAACAGG
rnacentral:rRNA from 1 species